GUUGAUUCAAGUUUGAUAACAUGCCGCCAACCCCUUUGCUAAUAACAUUUUCUUUGGUUUCUCUAAAUCCGUAAUUUCUUAGUUCCUAUACUCAGAUCAAGCCAACUAACCUUUCACUCAAUCCGUUUCUGUUUAGGUUCUGAGUACGAUCGCACUGGACAUUUUGUGGAAGAGCAAGGGAUCACGAUUUGCAGUUCGAGUGCCAUCAGUUCGAGUCGCCAGAGAAGCAAGCAAAAUCAAUCCAAACCCAAAUCGCAAAGAAGACUUCCGCUCACCGUCACUCUCUCUGGGCAGAUUGAUCAAUAAAAAUGAGGUGGCAGUAAAAAAACUUCUUAAAAAAUAGAACAAGAAGAGAGAAUUCAUAAUUGAAGUGGAGGCUAUAGGUCAUGUUAGAGAUAAAUAUCUUGUGUGCCUGUUUGGAGGGAGUUAAACAGAGUAAUGGAUGCAUGUUGCCAUGGAACAAGGAACACUUACCUGGGAGGUUCGCAUGCUCGAUAGUUACCUAGCAAGU